ACCAGCAACUAACACUAACGCACCAUCGAUGCUUGAUUUCUUGAUCGUUAUGACAAUUACCCGAUCUAUGACAAACAACAAUCAAAUUUCUCAGAAUGCUUGGAAUCACAACAGUUUUCUCCGCUGCUGCAAAGAAAUUUGGGGAUUCUUUUUUGGUAUGGUGAUGAUUUCACAUUCGAGAAAGGUAAUUUUAGGCUGAAUUUACAAAUUCCUCCACAUUCAUGCUAAGUUUCUCUUCAAAUAUCCUGAUUUUCCUGGUUUCUUGGUUUCUUAGGGUUUUCAUGUUUUCAAUCAUUUGGUUCUAUCCAAUACCCCAAAACCCUGAUUCAAGUUGUAUUAUUACUGUUACUACGUAUUCUUGGUUCCAUCUCUGAAAAUCCAAAGAAUUGAUCGAAUAUUGAGUUCAGAAGAGACACAGAAGUUCAAGCUGCGAGUUCAGAGAAAUUCUAUUUCUUGCUUCCUGCUGUUUUCACUGUUGAGGAUCAUGAAAGUUUAUUGAAGGAGAAACUAGAAUUCUUGCUGCUUCCAUAGAAGAUGUUUCUAAGGGUACUAAACAUUUCAAGAAAGAGGCCUUCGGUAGAUUUCAGUUAGAACUUAAUCAAUUUGGUCUAUUAAGUUAUACAAAUGCCAAUAUCAAACAACUUGUGGAUGUCAGAGAAGAUGAAUGUUUUCGUAUUUGGGUCAGAAGACUAAGAUGACAGCUGCAAAUCAAGCGAUGUUGUAGAUGCCAAGAUGGAGAAGAGCACUGUGUAAAGUUGUACUUGUUAGUGGAUCCACUCGAAUUUCUAAGGUUCAACAGUUUGUUGCAAGAUGUCACGACUAUUUUGUUCCCAAGAAACACCACCUUCCCCACUAAGAUUGAGCCUACAUACUCUGACAACAAGCCUGGUGUUGAUGCAAGUAUCUGAGGGUGAGAGAACCAGGACCAGAGAAAACAGCUUGUUGGUAAAUUUGAACUGUCAGCUCAGCUAUUUUUCUCCGGUGUCAUGUGGUGUCUCCUAACUUGCUGUGACAUUGAUGCCAAUGGUAUCAUUCCUGUUACUACAUAUUCUUGGUUCCAUCUCUGAAUUCCCAUCCCAAGAAUUUGAUCGAAUAUUGAGUUCAGAGGACACAAAAGUUCAAGCUGUGAGUACAGAGAAACUCUAUUUCUUGCUUCCUGCUGUUUUCACAGUUGAAGAUUAUGAAAGUUUAUUGAAGGAGAAACUAGAGUUCUUGUUGCUUCCAUCUCUGUGGAAGAUAUUUUUGAGGGUACUAAAGAUUUCAAGAAAGAGGUCUUUGAUAAAUUUCAGUUAGAACUUAAUCGAUUUGUUCUAUUGAUUUGCAAUGCUAACAUCGAACAACAGUGUGGAUGUCAAAGAGAUGAAUAUUUUUGGUAUUUAGGUCAGAAGACUAAAUGGUAGCUGCAAAUCAAGCCAAAAUCGAUGUUGUAGAUGCCAAGAUGGAGAAGAGCACUGCCUACAGUUGUCCUUGUUGGUGGAUCCACUAAAAUUUCUAAGGUUCAACAGUAUGUUGCAAGAUGUCAUGAAUAUAUUAUCCCAAGAAACACCACCAUCCCCACUAAGAAUUGUAGCAGGUUUUUUCACCAUACUCUGAUAACAAACCUGGUGUUUUGAUCCAAGUAUCCGAGGGUGAGAGAACCAGGACCAGAGAUAACAGCUUGUUGGUAAAUUUGAACUGUCAGCUAUUUCUCCAGCAUCAUGUGGUGUCUCCUAACUUGCUGUGACAUUGAUGCCAAUGGUACCUUUAGGUACCUCAUUCGAUACUCCUGUUUUUGACACCCUUCUCUUCAUGUUACCAAAUUUCUUAACCACUCUAUAUCCUUUCAAUACUUUAAAACAUUUCAAUCCUUCUGAAUACCUUAAAACAUUUGUAACUCAAUAUCUACUUUUCAAUACCUUAAAACAUUUCAAUCCUUCUGAAUACCUUAAAAAUUUUCAAACAUUUCUUAAGAUUUUUUUCAUAACCAGCUCCUAAAAACUUCUAAACCUGGUUACUAAACAUGCUGCACCUAACUGGUCCUAAAUCUUUAUUAAUAACCUGUUUCUGAAAUCUUUUCAUAGCUGGAUCCUAAACCAUUUUCAACAGCCAGUUGAUAACUUUCUUGCCCAAUUUCAGUAUGGUUCCUAGAAACUUUUUCAACAAGCAGUUCAUACCCCUCUUAAAACUUUGCCUACUCCCUCGCACACUGCCUCCUAACACCCUCUGCAAACCAUUUGUUAACCAUCUUCAAACUGGUCACUGAAAUAGUGAAAUCUUUCAGUUCCUAACCAUUUUUUUUGGAUAACUACAAUCAGCUCCACAAGCUAUUUUUUUGUUCUUUUGUUGCUCUUGCUAAGGUGGUGGCAAUUCUUCCAAGAAUGCUGGUUCUUGUUUUUGAGGGCUGCUUACAAGACUGCUUCAGGCUCCUCUUUCUUAGUCAAUUUGUGUUUCCAAACUAACUUGGUGCCAUGUUCAGUUUGAGGGGGUGCUUUUGCUUUUGUGUUUUUCUUUUUCAGUUCAAACUGAAUUUGUAUUAUUUUUCAGCUUGUUAUUUUUCUUUUGGGUGCUUUGGUUUUUCAAACUUACCUUUUGUCUGGUAAAGUUUGAGGGGGAAUGUAUUGGCUUAGUCCAGUAGUCUGUUAUGUCCUGAUAGGUGUCCUAUAAUAACAGUUCUCAUGUGUAAUAGACGUACCUGAUAAUUGCUUCUGUAAUAACAGUUCUUGUAACAUUUCUAAGAUUUCUGUAGCUUUAUCAGAGAUGCAUCAAGAAGUGAAGUGAUUUGGAUAAGUCCAGAUGUAGUAGCUUCUUCAGACAUUGAGAAGUUUUGUGGUGGAUUAAAACCUUGGAUUUCUGUUGCUUUGUCUUCUAAGAGAGAAGGCAAAUGACUAAAUAAGGAUUCUAACUGGUCUACUUACCUUGAAAUUCUUCAAGAGAGAUCUGAUUCGACCAUAUAUUGUACAGGUCGGAAGAGGAGCUUUUUGAACUUCAAGGCACAACCUUGGGCGUGAAAGAAUAUGAGCACAGGCAAUUCGUCAAGGUCGGACAAGAAUUUAUACUUCACAACAAGCAUCCCCUUCAAUUACAGCAGAUGACUUCUUUUGGGCAUUUGGUAUAAUCAGAUCAAGAGCAUUUUCCCGCCUUCUUGGUCAAGAUUUUGUUUCAGUUCCUCUAGCCGACUUGUGCAGGCCAGAAGAGGAGCUUCCUGAACUUCAAGGAACUCAACUAUUGAGCACAACCUUGGGUGUGAAAGAAUAUGUGCUCAGAGAUUUGUCAAGGUCGAAACAGAUGUCAUACUUCCCAACAAGCACGUUUUUCCUUCAGUUACAUCAGACGACUUCUUUUGGGCAUCUGGUAUAUACUCAAUCGAGCAUUUUCAUGCUUUCGUGGUCUAGAUCUUGUUUUAGUUCCUCUAGCAGACUUGGUAAGAUCUUAUCACUCUGUAAAUGUUUUUAAUGUAAGUAGAAUGUGCUGUAGUCUCUGUGGGUUAAUCGAAGAGUUAUGACAUCUCUGUGGGUUAAUCGAAGAGCUAUCUCAUAAAUGAAAUUUUAGUGUAUCAAGAUAUAAGACUUUUCUUAAAUCAAAUCUAAACAAGCUUAAGAUGGUUCACUCGGCAA